ACAUCUCGGGAAUCUUGUGGAAACACGAGAGUGCCCUUCGGGGAGCCCGAAGACAGGUGCUGCAUGGCUGUCGUCAGCUCGUGUCGUGAGAUGUUGGUUAAGGUCCCGCAACGAGCGCAACCCCUAUCUCUAGUUGCCAGCGAUUCGGUCGGGGACUCUAGAGAUACUGCCCCGGUUAACGGGGAGGAAGGUGGGGAUGACGUCAAGUCCUCAUGGCCCUUAUGCCCAGGGCUACACACGUGCUACAAUGGGUGGUACAAAGAGCAGCUAACUCGCGAGAGUAUGCAAAUCUCAAAAAGCCAUCCUCAGUUCGGAUUGGAGUCUGCAACUCGACUCCAUGAAGUUGGAAUCGCUAGUAAUCGCGGAUCAGCAUGCCCGCGGUCCGAAUACGUUCCCGGGCCUU
rnacentral:rRNA from 1 species